GACGAACGCUGGCGGCGUGCCUAAUACAUGCAGGUUGAGCGCUGAAGGUUGGUACUUGUACCAACUGGAUGAGCAGCGAACGGGUGAGUAACGCGUGGGGAAUCUGCCUUUGAGCGGGGGACAACAUUUGGAAACGAAUGCUAAUACCGCAUAAAAACUUUAAACACAAGUUUUAAGUUUGAAAGAUGCAAUUGCAUCACUCAAAGAUGAUCCCGCGUUGUAUUAGCUAGUUGGUGAGGUAAAGGCUCACCAAGGCGAUGAUACAUAGCCGACCUGAGAGGGUGGUCGGCCACAUUGGGACUGAGACACGGCCCAAACUCCUACGGGAGGCAGCAGUAGGGAAUCUUCGGCAAUGGGCGAAAGUCUGACCGAGCAACGCCGCGUGAGGGAAGAAGGUUUUCGGAUCGUAAAACUCUGUUGGUAGAGAAGAACGUUGGUGAGAGUGGAAAGCUCAUCAAGUGACGGUAACUACCCAGAAAGGGACGGCUAACUACGUG
rnacentral:rRNA from 1 species